AUGCAAGUCGAGCGAACAGAUAAGGAGCUUGCUCCUUUGACGUUAGCGGCGGACGGGUGAGUAACACGUGGGUAACCUACCUAUAAGACUGGGAUAACUUCGGGAAACCGGAGCUAAUACCGGAUAACAUUUGGAACCGCAUGGUUCUAAAGUGAAAGAUGGUUUUGCUAUCACUUAUAGAUGGACCCGCGCCGUAUUAGCUAGUUGGUAAGGUAACGGCUUACCAAGGCGACGAUACGUAGCCGACCUGAGAGGGUGAUCGGCCACACUGGAACUGAGACACGGUCCAGACUCCUACGGGAGGCAGCAGUAGGGAAUCUUCCGCAAUGGGCGAAAGCCUGACGGAGCAACGCCGCGUGAGUGAUGAAGGGUUUCGGCUCGUAAAACUCUGUUAUUAGGGAAGAACAAAUGUGUAAGUAACUGUGCACGUCUUGACGGUACCUAAUCAGAAAGCCACGGCUAACUACGUGCCAGCAGCCGCGGUAAUACGUAGGUGGCAAGCGUUAUCCGGAAUUAUUGGGCGUAAAGCGCGCGUAGGCGGUUUCUUAAGUCUGAUGUGAAAGCCCACGGCUCAACCGUGGAGGGUCAUUGGAAACUGGGAAACUUGAGUGCAGAAGAGGAAAGUGGAAUUCCAUGUGUAGCGGUGAAAUGCGCAGAGAUAUGGAGGAACACCAGUGGCGAAGGCGACUUUCUGGUCUGUAACUGACGCUGAUGUGCGAAAGCGUGGGGAUCAAACAGGAUUAGAUACCCUGGUAGUCCACGCCGUAAACGAUGAGUGCUAAGUGUUAGGGGGUUUCCGCCCCUUAGUGCUGCAGCUAACGCAUUAAGCACUCCGCCUGGGGAGUACGACCGCAAGGUUGAAACUCAAAGGAAUUGACGGGGACCCGCACAAGCGGUGGAGCAUGUGGUUUAAUUCGAAGCAACGCGAAGAACCUUACCAAAUCUUGACAUCCUUUGAAAACUCUAGAGAUAGAGCUUUCCCCUUCGGGGGACAAAGUGACAGGUGGUGCAUGGUUGUCGUCAGCUCGUGUCGUGAGAUGUUGGGUUAAGUCCCGCAACGAGCGCAACCCUUAAGCUUAGUUGCCAUCAUUAAGUUGGGCACUCUAGGUUGACUGCCGGUGACAAACCGGAGGAAGGUGGGGAUGACGUCAAAUCAUCAUGCCCCUUAUGAUUUGGGCUACACACGUGCUACAAUGGACAAUACAAAGGGCAGCUAAACCGCGAGGUCAUGCAAAUCCCAUAAAGUUGUUCUCAGUUCGGAUUGUAGUCUGCAACUCGACUACAUGAAGCUGGAAUCGCUAGUAAUCGUAGAUCAGCAUGCUACGGUGAAUACGUUCCCGGGUCUUGUACACACCGCCCGUCACACCACGAGAGUUUGUAACACCCGAAGCCGGUGGAGUAACCAUUUAUGGAGCUAGCCGUCG
rnacentral:rRNA from 1 species